rnacentral:lncRNA from 13 species
CUGUUUUUGUCCAGAUAUUAUAUUGGGCAAAUUAAUGACCAGGGACUGAAGAGGGUCAGAGUUCACAUAACCGGCUUUUUGGACCGUCUUAUGCUCCAGCCAAUAUGAAAGUGCAUCUUCAAAUCAUCAUCUGCGGGUGUGUUCUAGCCACAGUCCUACCGCUGGUCAAAGGCACAGUCCUACCGCUGGUCAAAGGCACAGUCCUACCGCUGGUCAAAGGCACAGUCCUACCGCUGGUCAAAGGCACAGUCCUACCGCUGGUCAAAGGCACAGUCCUACCGCUGGUCAAAGGCACAGUCCUACCGCUGGUCAAAGGCACCAAAGUUGACCUCAACUCCAACAUGAAAAAGAGAUUUGGAGUCUGGUUACAGAGCCGCACAAGAGAAGANNNNNNNNNNGCAAAAAGACAAACUCAACUCCAUCAUACAUUGAAUCAGAUAGCUCAUUCAUCACAAAAUCCACUGAUAUUGGCAAUUACUUGAAUAUUUUUUUUCAUUGGCAAGAUUAGCAAACAUAGGCAUGACAACCAAUCAAAAUGUAUUUUAGAUUUUAGAUUCUUCAAAGUAGCCACCCUUUGACUUGAUGACAGCUUUGCACAUUUGGCAUUCUCUCAACCAGCUCCACCUGGAGUGCUUUUCCAACAGUAUUGAAGGAGUUCCC